AAAUUAUCAAGAGUAAGGGUAGAGAACUGGCUCUGAUACCCUUUACCAACCUGUCUUGAGCAUAGUCGAAAGAUAAGGUGGUCCUUCCAGCUUCCUCUCAUUGAGGAGGAGAUAAUUG
rnacentral:ncRNA from 2 species